rnacentral:lncRNA from 1 species
UAUGAAUGAAAACCUAUAUGUUUUUCACAAAUUUCAGAGGUAAUAAUUCAGUUUCCAACAAAAAUAAAAUUCAAAUUAGUCUCUGACAAUUUUGUACGGAAUAAAUUAAUUCUUUUAUUAUAAAAGAAUCAAAGACUUGAUCGUUGUGUGGACGGAAAGAAAUCACGGAUUGUUUAGAGGCUCAACAAGUACUCUUCAUCAAUUGUUGGACAAGAUCAAGCUUUUUUCCUACAGGUGGUUGAAGCCGACGGGUGUUACUUUAGCUUCAAACUACCAUAACUAGUGGUCUAGUCCAUUACUUUGUUUGGGCCUUGUACGAUUUUCUUUCUGUUUUUUUCUUUGACUCGUUGUAAAUUUUGGUAGUCCACUUCGGUACAUCUUGUGUUGAGGGGACUAUUUUUGUUAAUAUAUAUGUCAUUGUAGCUUGUUAAAAAUAAAAAAAUUUAGAGAGUAAUUUAGAUAUUAAAUUUAUUAGGGACUAAAUUAUCUAUUUGUGUGAAUAUAAAAAGGGUCUUCACGAUGUACCAAAAAAAACGGUCUUCACCGAGCAAAUUUCCGUUUGGCCUAGCUUUUUUUUGAGCUUAUGCAAAUAGCUUAUGCAAUAUAAAUUAAGUUUUAUGUUAUUUUAUAAGUUCACANNNNNNNNNNNNNNNNNNNNNNNNNNNNNNNNNNNGUGAAUCAAAUUAUCAAACCUUAUCACCUCACCACAUGCAUACGGAUCUAAUGAUUAUGGCUUCAUCAAGAAUCGAAGGCAUCUACUAUUUAUAAUACACAAAGAUUAGAAGUGAGAAAAAUAUUGAUAUUUCUUUAUAUAAAAUUUAAAAACAAUGUAUACGAUUAUACCUUCUUCAUAAAAAUUAUGGAUAUGCAAAAAAUGUUUAUUUAUUUAUUUUGUUUAUCAGAAUUAGUAUGUAUUUUUAUUUGUUAAAUCAUAGUUUAUUAAUUAUAACAUGGACUCAAGUACGUUUAUGAACUUCAAUUAAAGAUAAAUGUUUGAUUUAACUAUUAACUACUUACCUCAUCACCAAAUUUGGAUUACUGAUCCCUUUACAAUUUAAACUGGAGAUCAAGACAAAACAAAUAAAGUUUAUUAAUGACAUCAUUCAAAUGAUUAUUUGUUUAACGAUGAUGGUUUUUCAAAAUUGAAAAGAUCUGAACUUCAAAGAAAUUAACACAAACUCACCAAAUUAGAGGAAAGGCCAAGAUAAUGAAUUUGAUGGCAGCUUCUUAAUUCUUUCAUGGUGUUGUGAAAGCAUUGGGCAGCUUUGCACCAGGUGAGAGCGACAUGUAUCAUAGGGUCGAGCAAAAAGAACAACCACACCAUAUAAGAAAUGGUGGUUUUCUAAUUAAGCCGCGAUCAACUGAUACGUGUUUCUCUCACCCGGAGUAAAAGUGACCAUUGAAAAUAUUGAAAUUUGUAAGUUUUUUUUUUCUUCUUUUUUCUUCUAAGUUUCUAAGCGUUGCCUGUUCUAUACUUAUAGUACUUGUUUGUUGAUUGGCUUUGGUUUUAUAGGAAUUAUUUAAUUUAAUAUUGUUCACGGGUCGUUUUGUAAGUCUUGU